AGAACUCGGAACCCUGGAGUCACUGGGCACCACAGUCCAGCGACGGCUGCCUAACAGUCACUUGGCUGGAGAGAGUCAGCUGCGAUCAUGCUGUGCCGCUUUCCCAGGCCUCGAGGCCGCAGCAACAGGACCCUGUGCAGGGAAAGGACUUGGGCGUGAGUGAGAGGAUGGGUGGCUAAGUCCUCAUGCUUCAGGCCACUCACCAGGAACUGCCUGGCCAUCAGGGGCAGCACAGGGCGGGUCUCACCAGACCCAGAGACCUGGGGACCUGAGAUGAGCGGGAGCCCAGGGCAGAUCUCCCUGGACCUGGACCCCAGACACUUGGGGCCACCGAGUCCAGGACAGGUCCAGUCAGGCCCGGCCACCGCUGUGAGUCCCCUAUGUAACUCCCGCCCUUCUUCCUCACUUUGAGGAGGGUGGGGGACGAGGUCAUGAGGGAGGCUCCUCCUGGGCAGGGGCAGGUGUGGGAGGCUGUGAGCCCGGGGCCCUGGCCUGCGCCCCCAGGACGGGGGUGAGAGGAGGAGAAGGGCAGUGCCCAGGGAUGAUCCGCAGCCCGCAGGGCCUUCUCCUGUCCUCUGGGGUAGAAGCCUGAGACAGAGCUGUUUGUGUUUCAGGAGCACAAGGUUACCCGGGGCAGAAACAGCGCAAACUGUGGUCAGGCAGAGCCUUGUGCUUGCUGCUGGCUGCCGGGCACUGUCCCCACAGAGCUGCACACAGGACACUGUGUCACUUCCGUCCUGUCACGGCUUUAUUCUGCCAUGUCACCUCAGGGCAACUCCUGGCCAGGGCCCAUGUAGUACCCACAGGGGCUACGCGACCUGCAAAGAUGGCAGUGAGCACAGCCGGGAAGCCUCUCAGGACCAGGAAGUGGGCCUGACUUUUUCUGAGCCUUCUCCACCAGGGACAGGCUGGCCUCACAGGAGGCCUGGAGCCAGGCUGAGCCUCGGUUUCUCUCUCCACCAUGGGACCUGAGGGUGGGUGGGCUCUUCAUGCCCCAGGCCAUGACCUCUCCUUGUUAAUGAGCCAUGAAUCGGUAGCAUUUCUGUGUGUCCUUUCUGAAAUUACCUUCUAACAUGCAUUGCUUUUCUGCCGGGCCCACUUGUGCCCCUUCUGGUACGAGCCAUGAUGGCGACUUGCAGAGUGGUCUGGGCUUCAGCCUCCAGCCCUCCUGAUGGCCUGGGUGGGCCCCAGUUCCAUGUCUCCCCUCUGUUCCAUCACAGACUGGGGCCCAACGGGAGGAGAGCCGGCAGAGGACUGCAUGGUAAGGAUGGUGCUGGCAGGCAUGCAGCACCCCCUGAGGGAGCCCCCAGAAUGGGAUGUCCUGGACAGCUGCCCCAUCCAUGCAGACUCCCUCCUGGACCCCUCUGGGGCCUGCAUUCCCACCCUGCAGGAGGGGAUGGUGCCAAGGUGAGCUCUGUGGUUGGCACCCAGGGGCCCUUGGCCACUGUGGCCCCAAGUCUUUGGAAGGUAUGAACCCUGCCUCAGCCUGCUCGCAACUCUGAGCAACAGGGCGCUGAGAAAAUCGGGCUCUCCGCAUCACUGCGGGGCAGAGCUGUGGUCUCCAGGGCAGUGCUGACCCGAGCCUGCCGGAUUCCCUUCCAUCCCUGGCCGGCUGUGCUUUGCCCCACUGAGCCCUGCACAGGGGAAGGCUGUCCGUUGCCUGUAAAGGAGACCACAGAGUGACUCGGCAGGCCUCUGGUCUUCCCAGAGCAGGAGUCUGUGGGGAUGUGAAUGGUCCAGGCCCACUGACCUCAGGGAAGAGCAGGUGGGGUCCCCAUUCCAUGGAUGUAUGUGAAGACACACUGUGUGCAGACCUUUCCCAGGGCUCGGCUGUGAUUGCCAGUAGCCAGAGCAGAUGCAACCCCUGCCCUCUGGGGCUUCAGCGCUGUUUGAGGUCCUCAGUCACCCUGGACAGCUGAGCAAGCAUUCCUCGCACUGCAGUAGAUGGCACUUUCCCGGCCUCCCUAGAUGUGGAUCCACAGCAGUGCAAGAGGAGCCCAGGAGCGGCAUAGACUCCGGGCAGCACAGCGCUGCAGAGCUGAAGCCUGAGGAGAGCUACACUCCCAGGAGAAUCCACCAGCUGAACUCCUGGCCCAGCUGGAGCAAGCAGAGCCCACUGAGGCACAGCCCAUGGGCGAGGAGGACGGGGUGUAGGCCUGUGGGACCAGCUCCACCCCCAGCUGAAGUCCCAUGUGCGGAGCCCGAGCCAGCUCCACCUGCAGCUUCCUGCCCAGGGCUGGGACCACAGCCAGAGUCCAUGGCAGCCGCUUCACCUGCUGCAGUGCUGGGGCACCCGGUGGUUGCACGGCUGUCGGUGUCACCUCCUGAGCUCCGCCUGGGGCCAGCUCCUGGCCCCCUCCCACUGUUCCCCUCACUUAUGCUGGCU
ensembl:lncRNA